CAGUAAAUAUUUUAUUUAAAAUAUUAAUUUUGGGGAUUAAAGAUAAGUUAUACUUUUUACUGA
rnacentral:tRNA from 1 species